AGGACGAACGCUGGCGGCGUGCUUAACACAUGCAAGUCGAGCGGUAAGGCCUUUCGGGGUACACGAGCGGCGAACGGGUGAGUAACACGAGGGUGAUCUGCCCUGCACUCUGGGAUAAGCCUGGGAAACUGGGUCUAAUACCGGAUAUGACCUGCUCUCGCAUGGGGGUGGGUGGAAAGAUUUAUCGGUGCAGGAUGGACCCGCGGCCUAUCAGCUUGUUGGUGGGUAAUGGCCUACCAAGGCGACGACGGGUAGUCGACCUGAGAGGGUGACCGGCCACGACUGGGACUGAGACACGGCCCAGACUCCGUACGGGAGGCAGCAGUGGGAAUAUGCACAAUGGGCGAAAGCCUGAUGCAGCGACGCCGCGUGAGGAUGAAGGCCGUUCGGGUUGUAAACCUCUUUCGAGUCGAGGACGAAGCGA
rnacentral:rRNA from 1 species